rnacentral:rRNA from 1 species
UACGGAGGGAGCUAGCGUUGUUCGGAAUUACUGGGCGUAAAGCGCGCGUAGGCGGCUUUGUAAGUUAGAGGUGAAAGCCCGGGGCUCAACUCCGGAACUGCCUUUAAGACUGCAUCGCUAGAAUCCGGGAGAGGUGAGUGGAAUUCCGAGUGUAGAGGUGAAAUUCGUAGAUAUUCGGAAGAACACCAGUGGCGAAGGCGACUUACUGGACGACUGUUGACACUGAGGUGCGAAAGCGUGGGGAGCAAACAGG